rnacentral:rRNA from 1 species
GUASGAUYCGAGCGUUGUCCGGAUUUACUGGGUGUAAAGGGUGCGCAGGCGGGCUGGUAAGUCAGAGGUGAAAUCUCGGCGCUCAACGCCGAAACUGCCUUUGAUACUAUUAGUCUUGAAUACGGUAGAGAUUCGUGGAAUUCCGAGUGUAGCAGUGAAAUGUGUAGAUAUUCGGAAGAACACCAGUGGCGAAGGCAGCGAAUUGGGCCGUUAUUGACGCUCAGGCACGAAAGCAUGGGGAUCAAACAGGAUUAGAGACCCUGGUAGUCCAUGCCCUAAACGAUGUACACUUGAUGUCGGCCUUUCAGGUCGGCGUCGGAGCUAACGCGUUAAGUGUACCACCUGGGGAGUACGCUCGCAAGGGUG